AUUGAACUCUGGCGGCAUGCCUUACACAUGCACGUCUAACGGUAACAGGUCUUCGGAUGCUGACGAGUGGCGAACGGGUGAGUAAUACAUCGGAACGUGCCUAGUAGUGGGGGAUAACUACUCGAAAGAGUGGCUAAUACCGCAUGAGAUCUACGGAUGAAAGCAGGGGAUCGCAAGACCUAGUGCUACUAGAGCGGCCGAUGGCAGAUCAGGUAGGUGGUGGGAUAAAAGCUUAACAAGCCGACGAUCUGUAGCUGGUCUGAGAGGACGAUCAGCCGCACGGGGGCUGGGACACGGCCCGGACUCCUACGGGAGGCAGCAGUGGGGAAUUUUGGACAAUGGGCUAAAGCCUGAUCCAGCAAUGCCGCGUGCAGGAUGAAGGCCUUCGGGUUGUAAACUGCUUUUGGACGGAACGAAAGGCUCCUUCUGAUAUGGGGGGCUCAUGACGGUACCUGAAGAAUAAGCACCGGCUAACUACGUGCCAGCCGCCGCUGUAA
rnacentral:rRNA from 1 species